UACGAAGGGGGCUAGCGUUGUUCGGCAUUACUGGGCGUAAAGCGCGCGCAGGCGGUUUUCCAAGUCAGUGGUUAAAGCCCAGAGCUCACCUCCGGAACUGCCUUUGAAACUGUGGAGCUCGAGUGCGGGAGAGGUGAGUGGAAUUCCCAGUGUAGAGGUGAAAUUCGUAGAGAUUGGGAAGAACACCGGUGGCGAAGGCGGCUCACUGGCCCGUUUCUGACGCUCAUGCACGACAGCGUGGGGAUCAAACAGG
rnacentral:rRNA from 1 species